rnacentral:lncRNA from 10 species
CCCUUGCCAGGCUCUUUUCUUUCUGAUCCAGCUUUCUUUGAACAUAUUUAUUUGCGUUUCACUCAACACGUGUCUCAAAUUGCAUCACCAGUUUAAUUUGAGUUUUAAGCUAAGAUGCUAGAGCUUUUCUCUUUCCUGUCCCAACAAGUACUCUUCAUUCAUGUCUUUAUUAAUUCUUCAGAUAACUAAACAGCAGCCAAGACUUUGAGGGAUGCAAAUUCGAAAGUGAUCCCUUUCCUGACUGGUAGGAGAAUUAAGCAGAGGGAGAAACACACUAGCAAAGGCUGGAGAUGGAAAAGUACAGGACGAGAAGAGUGAGUCGUUUGCCUGGGUUGCAGCACUGCAUGCUCAGACGGGAGCACUGAGGAAUACAGCUGAACAGGUGCAUGACUUUCUGCCCAAUUACUUGUUUUCAACCCAUCAGAGCAAGUCAAGCAUGCAUCUCAGAAGUCUCACUGUCACACUUGGCCUAGGUUGCCCCCGUGCACUGUCUCUGUUCUCAGUAUUCUGCCUCUGCAUACCCACAGAACAAUAGCUCUAAGUUUCCCAGACCCUCGUGUGGAGGCUUGGUCAAAAGGCGAAACCUGAAGAAAUACUUUAGCACAGGAUGAAGGAGGAAGUGGCAGAAGGGUAAAACCAACCCCUGUCAAACUUCACCAAGUGGCUCUGCCCCGGACUCAGCUCCACCACAUCCUACUCUUAUUGGGAGGCCAAGCAAGAAGGACUAAGGUUCUCUGUGUUCUAUCGACGUCUGGUGCAAUGGAG